CAGCCGCCACGGGAAUACAGAGGGUGCGAGCGUUAAUCGGAUUUACUGGGCGUAAAGCGUGCGUAGGCGGCUUUUUAAGUCGGAUGUGAAAUCCCUGAGCUUAACUUAGGAAUUGCAUUCGAUACUGGGAAGCUAGAGUAUGGGAGAGGAUGGUAGAAUUCCAGGUGUAGCGGUGAAAUGCGUAGAGAUCUGGAGGAAUACCGAUGGCGAAGGCAGCCAUCUGGCCUAAUACUGACGCUGAGGUACGAAAGCAUGGGGAGCAAACAGGAUUAGAUACCCCCGUAGUCCCUGUCUUUAUACA
rnacentral:rRNA from 1 species